ACCGGGGCUGGAGCAUGCGACGAACUCAUCCUCUCCGCCGAUGCUUGCGCCACACGUCCACCGAGUCCACAGCGGCUCCCCGAGAAACCAGCGCGGGCCACAAAGCCGCAUUAGCCGCGACCACUCGGCGGCAUAAAGCCCUUCCCCACUCCGCGACCUCAGCCAUAGCCGUGCGCACUGAACCGCGUUCCUGUGUUAGCAUCGCCGACCGGAGGGAGAAAAGAGUGCCGCCAGGUGGAAUCUAGGAUAGCCACCACAAUCAAUACGCGCAAACGUCGUCGUUGGCUCCCUGGUGACUAGCGUGAGUGCGUCACCAUCGCCGUGGGGCCUUCUCUUGAGGCUCUGUGGCGUCUCUGUCACCCCAGGGGCGGAAAUUGCACCGGUGUUGGCGCCGCCGGUAAACCAUCUCAAGCAUCGCCGUCGAAUCCAACAAAACUGCGCGAGGACACGUGUCAUCUGAAAAGCAAGUUGGUACCUGGAAUCUCAAGUGCCAGGCAAGUUGUGCCCUUGAUUCACUUUUGUUACCCAAUAAUGUUCUUUAUAAUCAUCUACCAUGCAUAGGUUAAUUUUGAUGGGACCCGAUAGGUCACCCUAGAUUGUUUAUCUCAUUACCUUGUUCACCCCUGAAUCACUUGGGUAGUUUUGCUAUUGCUUUACAUGGUUUUGGGAUAAUCAUUUAUUAUAUCUAUGUUC
rnacentral:lncRNA from 7 species